CUGGGAACUGCAUCCUAAACUGGCGAGCUAGAGUACUUGUCUAGGGGGGUGGAAUUUCCUGUGUAGCGGUGAAAUGCGUAGAUAUCUGAAGGAAUACCAGUGGCGAAGGCGACCCCCUGCACUGAUACUGACGCUGAGGUGCGAAAGCGUGGGGAGCAAACAGGAUUAUAUACCCUGGUAGUCCACGCCGUAAACGAUGUCAACUAGCCGGUGGAAUCCUUGAGAUUUUACUGCCGCAGCUAACGCAUUAAGUUGACCGCCUGGGGAGUACGGCCGCAAGGUUAAAACUCAAAUGAAUUGACGGGGGCCCGCACAAGCGGUGGAGCAUGUGGUUUAAUUCGAUGCAACGCGAAGAACCUUACCUAGCCUUGACAUGCAUAGAACUUUCCGGAGAUGGAUUGGUGCCUUCGGGAACUCUGACACAGGUGCUGCAUGGCUGUCGUCAGCUCGUGUCGUGAUAUGUUGGGUUAAGUCCCGUAACGAGCGCAACCCUUGUCCUUAGUUUCCAGCACGUUAUGGUGGGCACUCUAGGGAAACUGCCG
rnacentral:rRNA from 1 species